rnacentral:rRNA from 1 species
CAGCCGCCGCGGUAAAACGUAGGUGGCAAGCGUUGUCCGGAAUUAUUGGGCGUAAAGGGCUCGCAGGCGGUUUCUUAAGUCUGAUGUGAAAGCCCCCGGCUCAACCGGGGAGGGUCAUUGGAAACUGGGAAACUUGAGUGCAGAAGAGGAGAGUGGAAUUCCACGUGUAGCGGUGAAAUGCGUAGAGAUGUGGAGGAACACCAGUGGCGAAGGCGACUCUCUGGUCUGUAACUGACGCUGAGGAGCGAAAGCGUGGGGAGCGAACAGGAUUAGAUACCCCCGUAGUCCCUGUCUCUUAUAU